rnacentral:rRNA from 1 species
AGUGAACGCUGGCGGUAGGCCUAACACAUGCAAGUCGAACGGCAGCACAGUAAGAGCUUGCUCUUACGGGUGGCGAGUGGCGGACGGGUGAGGAAUACAUCGGAAUCUACUUUUUCGUGGGGGAUAACGUAGGGAAACUUACGCUAAUACCGCAUACGACCUACGGGUGAAAGCAGGGGAUCUUCGGACCUUGCGCGUUCGAAUGAGCCGGUGUCGGAUUAGCUAGUUGGCGGGGUAAAGGCCCACCAAGGCGGCGAUCCGUAGCUGGUCUGAGAGGAUGAUCGGCGACACUGGGACUGAGACACGGCCCGGACUCCUACGGGAGGCAUCAGGGGGGAAUAUUGGGGAAUGGGCGCAAGCAUGACACAGCAAUGCCGCGUGGGUGAAGAAGGUCUGCGGAUGGUAAAGCCCUUUCGGCGGGGACGAUGGUGACGGUACCCGAAGAAGAAGCCCCGGCCAACUUCGUG